AUGGAUAAUGUGUUCCCUGGAGUAGAGCAUAGGGAAUGCAUGCGUCACCUUGCUGCAAAUUUCAUGAAGAAAUUCAAAGGAAAGAUGUAUACCGACAAUUUAUGGCCAGCAUCUUUGACAUGCAGUAUGAAGAAGCACAACUACCACUUGAGGCAGUUAUACAUGAAUCCCAAAGUGAAAGAAUACUUGGAAACACACCACUCCAAGUUAUGGGCCAGAAGCCAAUUCAGUGAAGUGAGCAAAGUUGACUAUGUGCACAAUAAUCUAGCAGAGUCUUUCAACUCAACGAUCCGGAAACUAAAG
rnacentral:rRNA from 1 species